UACGGGGGGGGCAAGCGUUGAUCGGAAUUACUGGGCGUAAAGCGUUCGUAGGCGGUUUACUAAGUCUGACGUGAAAUCCCUCGGCUUAACCGGGGAACUGCGUCUGAUACUGGAUGGCUUGAGGUUGGGAGAGGGAUGCGGAAUUCCAGGUGUAGCGGUGAAAUGCGUAGAUAUCUGGAGGAACACCGGUGGCGAAGGCGGCAUCCUGGACCGGCACUGACACUGAGGAGCGAAAGCCAGGGGAGCAAACGGG
rnacentral:rRNA from 1 species